UUGAACGCUGGCGGAAUGCUUUACACAUGCAAGUCGAACGGCAGCACGGGGGCAGCCCUGGUGGCGAGUGGCGAACGGGUGAGUAAUACAUCGGAACGUGCCCGGUCGUGGGGGAUAACGUAGCGAAAGUUACGCUAAUACCGCAUACGAUCUGAGGAUGAAAGCGGGGGACCUUCGGGCCUCGCGCGAUCGGAGCGGCCGAUGUCAGAUUAGGUAGUUGGUGGGGUAAAGGCCUACCAAGCCGACGAUCUGUAGCUGGUCUGAGAGGACGACCAGCCACACUGGGACUGAGACACGGCCCAGACUCCUACGGGAGGCAGCAGUGGGGAAUUUUGGACAAUGGGCGCAAGCCUGAUCCAGCCAUUCCGCGUGCAGGGCGAAGGCCUUCGGGUUGUAAACUGCUUUUGUACGGAACGAAAAGGCUCUGGCUAAUACCUGGGGCUCAUGACGGUACCGUAAGAAUAAGCACCGGCUAACUACGUG
rnacentral:rRNA from 1 species